rnacentral:pre_miRNA from 1 species
UUACUUUUAUUUUCUUUGUUGUCGUUUCCAGGGCCGUCCCUAAGAAUUCGGAGGCUCGGCUCUGGGAAUGAAAAGAGGCCAGUGAUAAA